AUGUACGACCAUAGGGUGUGGAAAACAGGGCUUCCGGUUCGCUCAGCCGUACUUCAGCCACACGCCAGCUGGUUAGUACCUAGCUAGUUGGUUGGGUGACCACCAGCAAAUCCCAGCUGUUGCAUGUU
rnacentral:rRNA from 1 species